CUCCCCAUCACUCACCUCCCGGUCAGCAGCCCCACCACCACCACCUGCCCCCCAGGGUGGAAAUCAGCGCACAGCCCGGUGUCCUGUGUGUGUGUGGGGAGGAUGGGGGAAAAGAAGGGGGGGGGGGGUCAUGUUCAUAGGCGGUUUAGGACCCCCUGCGCCCCCCCAGGACCCCCCCAUACCUCCAGGGCCAGGCUCCAUGCCAGCGCGUGCUCCUGCCCGUCCCACAGGCACAGCUGCCGGUCGUGGCCACAGCACCGUCCCGUCGCGGCGCCGGCACAGAGCGAAGACGCUGCCCUCGUGUGCCCGCGUCUGCUGCCCGAUCUGGUACGUCUCUGCGGGGACCCGUCCCCAUCCCUGCGUCCCCAU